AAAUUGAAGAGUUUGAUCAUGGCUCAGAUUGAACGCUGGCGGCAGGCCUAACACAUGCAAGUCGAACGGUAACAGGAAGCAGCUUGCUGCUUUGCUGACGAGUGGCGGACGGGUGAGUAAUGUCUGGGAAACUGCCUGAUGGAGGGGGAUAACUACUGGAAACGGUGGCUAAUACCGCAUAACGUCGCAAGACCAAAGAGGGGGACCUUCGGGCCUCUUGCCAUCAGAUGUGCCCAGAUGGGAUUAGCUGGUUGGUGAGGUAACGGCUCACCAAGGCGACGAUCCCUAGCUGGUCUGAGAGGAUGACCAGCCACACUGGAACUGAGACACGGUCCAGACUCCUACGGGAGGCAGCAGUGGGGAAUAUUGCACAAUGGGCGCAAGCCUGAUGCAGCCAUGCCGCGUGUAUGAAGAAGGCCUUCGGGUUGUAAAGUACUUUCAGCGGGGAGGA
rnacentral:rRNA from 2 species